AUCAGGAUAUGUUAUAGCAACAAAAAUGAAAUCUGGAUAGAAACUGGUCCUGAAGAAAUAGAGUUGUACUGAAUUUGAUUUUGCAAGAUCAAAAGUGUCAAGAAGACCAGCUAAAAACAGCUGUCCCAGGCAGCAGGGUUGGAGUUCAUGGAGAGAGGCUGUGAGAGGCCAUUGGUGAAUUGUAAUGGGGACUCUAAGAAAAAGAAUCAUGGAAUGUGGAUACCUCAACCAAACUGAAAAUACAUUAAUUACUUUUCCUUGAUAUCCAUGGAAUUAUCAGGAGUAGAAGAAUGUCUGAUUUUACUUCUUGAUACAAUAUUUAUGAAGUUCAGGUUCCUCAAGCAUCCAGUAAAACAGUUGCCAGCAACUCCAGAGCACGGCAAAGGGCAAUCCUAUCAUCUUUACCCAAGGUAUUAUUAAGCAGUUUCAUGAAAAUGUACUAAUUAAC